UAGGGAAUCUUCCGCAAUGGACGCAAGUCUGACGGAGCAACGCCGCGUGAGUGAAGAAGGAUUUCGGUUCGUAAAACUCUGUUGUUAGAGAAGAACAGCGCAUAGAGUAACUGUUAUGCGUGUGACGGUAUCUAACCAGAAAGCCACGGCUAACUACGUGCCAGCAGCCGCGGUAAUACGUAGGUGGCAAGCGUUGUCCGGAUUUAUUGGGCGUAAAGCGAGCGCAGGCGGUCAAUUAAGUCUGAUGUGAAAGCCCCCGGCUCAACCGGGGAGGGUCAUUGGAAACUGGUUGACUUGAGUGCAGAAGAGGAGAGUGGAAUUCCAUGUGUAGCGGUUAAAUGCGUAGAUAUAUGGAGGAACACCAGUGGCGAAGGCGACUCUCUGGUCUGUAACUGACGCUGAGGCUCGAAAGCGUGGGUAGCAAACAGG
rnacentral:rRNA from 1 species